CCCACCGUGAAAACCCUAAAACUAGUUCGAGUGUUCGCAUAUAUCGUCAUCAUCAGAUUGCAUACACCUGAACACAAAUUAAGAGCUAAAGCAAGUGAAUUUGGUGAAGUUGCAUUUGCUCAUGGUAGCACUAGGAAGCUUUCUCAGGCUUGUAAAUCUCAAGUUACAGUGGGCUUGUAUUAACUUAGGCCACAUGAAUGUGGGUGUGUCCUAUAUAUUGUAUUCAGAUUGAUAUGACGUUAGCGGAGAUCAUCGUUUAUUGUCUACUACCAUUCCAUUUUCUAAUGAUACGGUUAAAUAUAGUGAGUUGGUUGAUGCGAUGACAACAAGCAGUAAGUGCAGAGAACUAUGAAGUGGGAAAUAUGAUUGCUUAGAAAGGGUUAACACGACGAUUAUUUUACUUGCAAACAAGAUUGUGUAAGAGAUUCACGAAUGUAAUAAAGUUUUGAGUUUCUAUUCAAACAUUUAUUGACUAUUUGUUUUGUAUGUUUGGUAUUUAGACAUAGGUUGACGCUUAUUAGGCUUUUGUUUGCAAACAUUGGAAUCUUUGGAAGAUGAUUGGUUGAACUUUUUAAUUGAAGUGAUUAUAUUAUGGUUUU
rnacentral:lncRNA from 1 species